rnacentral:tRNA from 8 species
UUGAGGAGGGAUCUUUUCCCCUAUUACAGUAAGGA